rnacentral:tmRNA from 1 species
GGGGUUGACUGGAUUUGACAGCAGGCUGAGAUGGUACGUAAGCAUGCGGAGUGACGGCUGUGGACUCCAUAAUCACGUCGGUCGAACAAUUAAUUGGCGAAACAAAGUACGCUCUCGCUGCCUAAUCGAAGUACAGUAGAUUACUGGCUUUAUUCUCUUACAAGGUGAGAGAACGAGACAUCGCUCUUCUGGAUGUUGUUCCGAAUCAGGAAGGUAUAGCGGUGCAGGUAAAUCGGAAAUAGUCUCUUGGGAGCCUCGACUGGGGGAUGAAGUUUUAGAGGAUAAGGUUGCAGUUGGUGGCUUGGGUCUUGCUGCAUCACGAAAAUGAAGACCAAGAUAAGCAUGUAGAAAGCGUAUGGUUUCCCUGUUUGGACGAGGGUUCGAUUCCCUCCAGCUCCAC